rnacentral:rRNA from 1 species
GUCCACGCUGUAAACGAUGGGCACUAGGUGUCGCGGGUAUUGACCCCUGCGGUGCCGCAGCUAACGCAUUAAGUGCCCCGCCUGGGGACUACGGCCGCAAGGUUAAAACUCAAAGGAAUUGACGGGGGCCCGCACAAGCGGUGGAGCAUGUGGUUCAAUUCGACGCAACGCGAAGAACCUUACCCGGGCUAGACAACAGAGGACACCCCUAGAAAUAGGGUCUUCCCUUCGGGGACCUCUGGUUCAGGUGCUGCAUGGCUGUCGU